UGGGGAAUAUUGGGCAAUGGGCGAAAGCCUGACCCAGCGACGCCGCGUGGGUGAGGAAGGCCUUCGGGUCGUAAAGCUCUGUCGGGUGGAAAGAAACGUAUAGAUGUUAAUAGCAUUUAUACUUGACGGUACCGCCAAAGGAAGCACCGGCUAACUCCGUGCCAGCAGCCGCGGUAAUACGGGGGGUGCAAGCGUUAAUCGGAAUUACUGGGCGUAAAGCGUGCGCAGGCGGUUCGUUAAGACAGAUGUGAAAUCCCCGGGCUUAACCUGGGAACUGCAUUUGUGACUGGCGAGCUAGAGUAUGGCAGAGGGGGGUAGAAUUCCACGUGUAGCAGUGAAAUGCGUAGAGAUGAGGAGGAACACCAGUGGCGAAGGCGGCCACCUGGACAGUAACUGACGCUGAGGCGCGAAAGUGUGGGUAGCAAACAGG
rnacentral:rRNA from 1 species